rnacentral:rRNA from 1 species
GAGUUUAAUCUUGGCUCAGAUUGAACGCUGGCGGCAGGCCUAACACAUGCAAGUCGAGCGGUAGAGAGAAGCUUGCUUCUCUUGAGAGCGGCGGACGGGUGAGUAAUGCCUAGGAAUCUGCCUGGUAGUGGGGGAUAACGCUCGGAAACGGACGCUAAUACCGCAUACGUCCUACGGGAGAAAGCAGGGGACCUUCGGGCCUUGCGCUAUCAGAUGAGCCUAGGUCGGAUUAGCUAGUUGGUGAGGUAAUGGCUCACCAAGGCGACGAUCCGUAACUGGUCUGAGAGGAUGAUCAGUCACACUGGAACUGAGACACGGUCCAGACUCCUACGGGAGGCAGCAGUGGGGAAUAUUGGACAAUGGGCGAAAGCCUGAUCCAGCCAUGCCGCGUGUGUGAAGAAGGUCUUCGGAUUGUAAAGCACUUUAAGUUGGGAGGAAGGGCAGUAAAUUAAUACUUUGCUGUUUGACGUUACCGACAGAAUAAGCACCGGCUAACUCUGUGCCAGCAGCCG